rnacentral:rRNA from 1 species
GACGAACGCUGGCGGCGUGCUUAACACAUGCAAGUCGAACGGAAAGGCCCUGCGUUUGUGGGGUGCUCGAUUGGCGAACGGGUGAGUAACACGUGAGUAACCUGCCCUUGACUUUGGGAUAACUUCAGGAAACUGGGGCUAAUACCGGAUAGAAGCUCCUGCUGCAUGGUGGGGGUUGGAAAGUUUCGGCGGUUGGGGAUGGACUCGCGGCUUAUCAGCUUGUUGGUGGGGUAGUGGCUUACCAAGGCUUUGACGGGUAGCCGGCCUGAGAGGGUGACCGGCGACAUUGGGACUGAGAUACGGCCCAGACUCCUACGGGAGGCAGCAGUGGGGAAUAUUGCACAAUGGGCGGAAGCCUGAUGCAGCAACGCCGCGUGCGGGAUGACGGCCUUCGGGUUGUAAACCGCUUUCGCCUGUGACGAAGCGUGAGUGACGGUAAUGGGUAAAGAAGCACCGGCUAACUACGUG